AUAUAUAUAUAUAUAGAGAGAGAGAGAGAUAGGCUGGUAUACUAUCGGUAGCACGGAGACCUCCGUGCUACCAAGUUGUUUUCAAUGUUGCGGCUUCCAAAUUGACGAUCGGCUCCGUUAGACUUGAUCUACACUAUUAAAAAUAUUUGAAAACUAAAUUUCAUAAUUUUUCGACGUCAUUUACCUAUCAAACGAGUAGUCUAAAAAUGAACGGCUGAAAAUAAAAAUCUCAUAAAAAAUGAUGAUAAAAGACUUGAAUUUAAGAUCAGAGGUACUGGUCUUACUCUAAAUAGUGAAAAAAAUUUUCUAUAAAAAUUUCAUUAGAUUUGGAUUGUUUUACACCCUUAAAUUCACAAGUGCAUCACAUCUACUAUUAAAAUUGUUAAUUUUGAGACUUUUUUAUCACUAGCCAAAUGAUGUCGAAAAAUAAUGAAAUUUAGUUUCCAAAUACUUUCAAUAGUUUAGAUCAACUCUAACGGAGCCGAUCGUAGAUUUGGAAGUCGCAUCAUUGAAAACAAUUUGGUAGCACGGAGGCCUCCGUGCUACUGAUAGUACACCAGCCUAGCUCUCUCUCUCUCUCUCUCUCUCUCUCUCUCUCUCUAUAU
rnacentral:lncRNA from 1 species